rnacentral:rRNA from 1 species
GACGAACGCUGGCGGCGUGCCUAAUACAUGCAAGUCGAGCGAAGUUUUUCUGGUACUUGCACUAGAAAAACUUAGCGGCGAACGGGAGAGUAACACGUAAAGAACCUGCCUCAUAGACUGGGACAACUAUUGGAAACGAUAGCUAAUACCGGAUAACAGUAUUUCUCGCAGGUGAGAUAUUUAAAAGUUGGUUAUGCUAACACUAUGAGAUGGCUUUGCGGUGCAUUAGCUAGUUGGUGGGGUAAAGGCACACCAAGGCGACGAUGCAUAGCCGACCUGAGAGGGUGAUCGGCCACACUGGGACUGAGACACGGCCCAGACUCCUACGGGAGGCAGCAGUAGGGAAUCUUCCGCAAUGGGCGAAAGCCUGACGGAGCAACGCCGCGUGAGUGAAGAAGGAUUUCGGUUCGUAAAGCUCUGUUGUUAGGGAAGAAUGGAUAUGUAGUAACUAUACAUGUAAGAGACGGUACCUAACCAGAAAGCCACGGCUAACUACGUG